rnacentral:piRNA from 1 species
UACAAGUGGGCACACUCAUCAUUUGU